CAGCCGCCGCGGUAAUACGAAGGGGGCUAGCGUUACUCGGAAUUACUGGGCGUAAAGGGCGCGUAGGCGGCACGAUUAGUCAGGCGUGAAAUUCCUGGGCUCAACCUGGGGACUGCGCUUGAUACGGUCGAGCUAGAGGAUGGAAGAGGGUUGUGGAAUUCCCAGUGUAGAGGUGAAAUUCGUAGAUAUUGGGAAGAACACCGGUGGCGAAGGCGGCAACCUGGUCCAUUACUGACGCUGAGGUGCGAAAGCGUGGGGAGCAAACAGGAUUAGAUACCCGUGUAGUCCCUGUCUCUUUACA
rnacentral:rRNA from 1 species